GGCGGUGCUCGAUCGGUUGCCUUUGUUUGUUCCGUGGUCAGUAGGAAUCCCGUGCAUCAUUGCGCGAUGUAUCCUCCUACUUUCCAUAGGCGUAUUUUAAAAGCUACAUUGAUAAACCGCCGCCGCCACUACCGCCGCUGCUGCUGCUGCGAGUGGCUGUAAGCAGAGGAUUCACUCGCUCUAGUCGGUUUGUCUGUUGCUCGGGUUCGUCGUCUAUACUCGGGCUCGUUGGCGCCGUUCAUUGGCUGCUCUUCUUUGAUUGGCCAUAGGGGCGGUGGAUGUGUAUCUACAACUCUAUCAUCAGCGGCAUCAUUUCAAUGUAUUCUGCUCGCCACCAGCAGCAACACCAGCAAAUAACGGCAAAGUAGCGCGGGACAAUAAUAAUCGAAGACGGAAGAGUUUCACUCUUCUGCAACUAACCAGUUGCUACUGGGGUUAUACUACCCCGCCAAGCAACUACCCACAGUGGAAAGGAGCUCUGGGUGUAUGUUCUCGCCUCCUCGUUUGAUGAUGACGACUCUGGCCAACUAACCGAGAAGCGCUGCGAGUUGCCCUGGUUGUCGUAAAAGCUGGGUUCGAGAAAAGGAACGAGAGUAUAUGCUGUCUCGUUGGCGAUGAUGGUACUGCCGCAAGCGGAGGCGUUAGCAGUGGUUGAACCGGAGAUGACGUCAACCGUAAAACCGAUAGCAACGGCGGUCGCCGACGCAGUCGCAAAUCGGCGAGUGUUUGCCUCGAUGAUCGCUACCGUUGCGGCCGCCAACGUCGUCUUCUAAUUUUUAUUGUGAGUGGUGUUCCUGCUGCCGUAACUGCUGGUAGUGCUGUUCAUACGGCUAACUUCUGCCGUCUCCAUUAUUAGCCUCGGUCGUCCGUCCGAUGCCUAUCGUGCCAGGACUGUAAGUGGUCUACUGCGAUAUUCUAGGGGAUCGACGAGUAACGAGUUCCUCAGUGGUUCCACGCACGACAGCGGGCGAAAGCGAACAACAACAAACAGGCCGGGAAUUGUGCAUUGAGGAAAAUAGGCAGCCCUAUAACAAAGCGGUCAAUUGCUAUUCUAUAUUGUAACUCAAUUGUAGUGUCAGCGGGAGCCGCUUAUUUCGGUUCGGUUGGCCGUACAAUUGUUUCGAUCGCUGUUAAUGGCGCCGUUGUCGCUUGUGGAUUGAUUCCUCUCGAGUCGAGUGCGAACUGUGAGCGAGCUAUAGGGAAAGUAUAGCAAACGAAAGCAACAGAGAACGAGAUUGCCGUCGAUUCGUGUGUGCUGCUCAAUGAACGCCUGUGUCGAUGUAUGUUUGUGCCCGUGUGCAGUCGUGUACCAGUGGAAUAAGUGAAAAGCAGGUGACUAGAAGAGAAAAUACAUCUCGAGUGAACUGGCAGGGGUUCAUUUGUGGUAUCGAGCAGAAUUGAACAGUUAGAACUACGCCGACCACUGGUUACUGGGAGAGGUAGGAGCAAAGUGUACGAACCGCUUGAUAUUAGCAACAGUAGACAAGCGACUGGUGCGACUUCCGUAGUAGCAAUCGCGGCCAGCCUUCGUUCAAACCGGCUAUCCAAGUUAACCGUCUAGCUGGCUAGGACAACUGGUUUAGCCUCGACUAAUUGGCGACCUGUUGUUGUUACCGCCGCCGCCGCCGCCGCCGCCGCCGCCGCCAUCACAACAACAAUUUUUGUCGUCGUUGUUGCAGCUGUUCCAUCUAGCGAUUGAUAACAGUACCGUGAAAUACUGCUUCUGCUGCUGGUGUUGCAACAGAAGCAACGAUAAAAGAACAACAUAGAAGUGACGCAGGCGAGUGCGUCGAUAUCUACAUCGAACCAGCGCUAUCAGUACUGUGGGGAGGGAAAGAAACAGCGGAUAGCUGAGCAGCUGUUAUAUCGCAGUGGUUAAAAGGUCGGUGAAAUAGAACCCAAAGAUAAACAAAGUGGAAUUGAAGUCGAUUGAGAACGACACGGCUACUGUGGCUAUACGAAUCGCAGACGUCGAGUCCGAACUUGAACCAGCCUUCGAUCCAGCGAGUUCCGCCGUUUCAUCGUGGAUGUGUUUGCGAUCGAGUGCUUGUCUUAAUAAUAAGUCUGCGUUAACGAGAACAGAAAUAAGGGGGUACGCCAACAACCAACAAGCUUUAUUAAUCAAAGCUUAUACAAAAAGCACGAGUAUAGUGGAUGCAUCAUUUUCGCAAAAAUUAUUCGAUACGAAACUGGCAAUUUGUGAAUGGCUAGCAAACAUCAAACGACCGAAGCUUUUGCGAAAUUCUUGGCACUAUCCCUCAAUUAUUGCGGUUAGUAGUAAUUUCCAACGGCGGCAACAACAAACACAGGACGAUUGUUCUAUCCAGUUAUCACUGUCAGCGUAACCUCUGAGGCAGACAGCUCCGUUCCAAUGUGUUUAACCCACUACGGCAGUAGGAACUGCUAACUGCCGAGUUGCGGGCAUCGCUUAGUGGUUGCGUUCGUUGGUGGCAUCAUUCAUCUUUCAUGUUGACGUCGCCGAAUGUCUUGGCGACGACCUCCGCCAGACCCCAGCCUGAGGCGAUUAUAGGGGGACCUGGCUUACUCGCAUUGUAAGACUGUUUUGUGUUCUCUUACAGUUGGCGCGGACCUAGUUGGUAGACUGACCUAGGAAACUCACUUUCUGCAAUUAAAACGAAGGAACUAGCAACAGCGACGAACGAGCGUAGCACACAAGUUAGCCCUGAUACCAAAACUGUUGCUUAAAUCUACAGAAAGGUUAUCUCGCUGAAGCUAACUUGUUCGAGCCUACUCAAGGAUCACCGCUCCGUUCGAUCAUCAUAGCGUUUCUCGUCGACAUUGUCGCUACUAAGCUUCGCUGAGGCUAAUAGUGUGUCGUGUCCGGGCGAUCGUCGUCGAGCGUUUGGACGAAUUCAUCGCAAGUAAGUUCUUGAGUUCGCGCCUGACGAGAGCUGGAGUGCGUUGACAAGCCGAGUGGGUGCAUCUGUGAGCUUCGUACCUGUACCGCUAGUCUUUCUCACCCAGAGAAAAAGAAGAGUAUCAGCUGUUCGAAAUCUUACAAUUAAUAACAAUUCUAUAGUAGUCGACUCCAGAACGGCUACAGACAUAGCAAUAACGACAACAACAACAACAACAAAAAUCGCAACAUGAAUCGAGAGUACGAUCAUCUAUUUAAGCUGCUUAUCAUCGGGGAUAGCGGUGUGGGUAAAAGCAGUCUUCUGUUACGAUUUGCUGACAACACAUUUUCUGGCAAUUACAUCACGACUAUCGGAGUCGAUUUCAAGAUCCGAACUCUGGAAAUAGACGGGGAGCGGGUUAAAUUGCAAAUAUGGGAUACUGCAGGCCAGGAGCGCUUUCGUACGAUCACGUCGACGUACUACAGAGGAACCCAUGGAGUCGUUGUCGUCUAUGAUGUAACAAAUGGAGAAAGCUUUGCCAACGUAAAACGAUGGCUCCAUGAAAUUGACCAAAAUUGCGACGUCGUCAAUCGAAUACUUGUUGGAAAUAAGAACGACGACCCUCAGCGAAAGGUUGUUGUCACUGAAGAUGCCCAAGCUUUUGCGGAUCGGAUGAAUAUUAAGUUGUUCGAGACGUCAGCCAAGGACAACCUUAACGUCGAGGAAAUGUUUAAUGCCAUCACGAGAAUGGUGCUUGCCAGCAAAAAGGAACAACUUCUACAGAACCAGCCAAGUCAAAAGGGCAACAAGAUCCAAAUCAAUCGGACAUAUCUCAACCGGCCGAAGAAGAAGUGUUGUUAGCGGUGUUUAGUCAAAAGUCACACAAUAACAAAGAAAUAAUGCAUUAUUAUAAUUAAUAUUAUAGAUAGAUCCAAGUAAACUUAAACUAGUGUCAAACAAACAUGAAAAGAUAUAAAUGUUACUAAGGACACACACAAUUCAGCAAUAAUAGCAAGCACAACAUCAAAAACAAGCAAGCGUGAUGACGGCCGCAGAAGCCGAAGAGCAAUGAGAAGCCUUAAACUGAGCGAAAGUAAUGCUCAACAGUUCUCCUGGCGGCAAACGGGGGUAAGCGACCGAACCAACCAAUAAUACAGAACGAUAACAUGUCAGUACACAGUCAGACAAUACAUAGAUCGAACAGAACUGCUCAGUUGUUACACCACUAAGCACGAAUACUCCUCAUUAGGAUGUGCGUGCGCGUGUCCAUAUGUCAACGUACGUAUACGAAAUACAAUGUGAGCUAAAAUCAAGUGCAAACAUCUUCACGACCAGGAAAUGACGGUUCUCCAAUCAAUAAUGUCGUCAGAGCGCUGAUCAGGGCUUCACUGAAUGAAAUGGAUCGGUUGAAGUUAUUGUUGUUUGGUAGAAAGUUGAAAGUGGUGUUUCGAUCGAGCUCAGCAAAGGAUACUUUGAGGAUCUCCUGCGAUGUAUGCAACAGGAGAACAGACAAAGACACUACGAGUUGAUGUUCGGCAAAUGCAAAGGAAACUGCACAACGUUUCUGCGAGUGCCCGCUCAACAAACGACCCGAACAUGUGCGUCUCCUAUUAAGCGGAUAUGCAUCAGCUUACCACCAUAUGUAAUUAGGCCGUCAUAACCACAUGUAAUGGACUUACUACAAACCUCCUUAACAAGUCUUAACUUUACUGGGCCACUGCCUCAUUUCACCAUACUAAUCCUACGUACAGGCUAAUAUUGUGAAUAUGUAUGAUGUUAAAGGUAACACAUUGAAACGUGAGUCCAUGGAUUCCUUGCUCGGCGCAAGGACGCGCGUAAAUAUUUUUUCCAAGCAGUUAGGGAGCAACUAUCAACAUGAGGAAAACUUGCAGUUGAGCAAAGAAGAAACGACAUUUUCAGAUCCGCAUCGAAUAGCUAACCCAGUGCUGGUUGUGAUGUCCUUCUUAGAUCGAGUUCUUCGAAAUAAAGCCUCAUCGUUGUAGCAUGCGUGAACGCGCGAUAUUCGGAAGAAUUCGAAUACUGAAUAUGCUCUAUCCAAAGAUAACGAUCAUCAAAACGGAUGUUUGGUCUGGUGGAAGAAGAGACUGGUUAACACGAUGAAAAGACACUAGGGGCACACUGUCAGAUUUACAGUUUUUGUGUGCCGGCUAUACUUCGAGACGCGACGCCUAUUAGGCUUAAGCACACAUAUAAACAUGGGUAAGCGAAAAUUUUAAAUGACACCUGUGUGGUAGUUAUGGAUAUCGGGUUGUCUAAUAGGAUGGUAGCUAGCGUUGUUCAAAAUUGGCGCGCAGCCGUCCUCGUUCACUCAGCGGUAGUAAACAAAAAUGCUGCUAUGUAUAAGCGUGUGGGGAAAGGUACGGACUCACAGCCAAUUUCGCACCGAAACGUCUCCUGGACUUUAGUUCGUAAAUCGGACGGACGUUUUUUUACGAAUGCCGUGCAGAAACGAACCGGAUAAAUAAUAAAUACGUCGUGCAUGCAGGACUAUUUCAGUCGAUUUAGCAAAUCGUGAUUAAGUAAUAGCGACCGUCUUAUUUGUAUCCCGAAAGUAAGUGAUGAGCGACUUUCGACCUGUUGCCUAAGCCGAAACUUUGAGCAACAACAAAAGAGCCAGGUUAUUAGAGGGUCGCAUAGCUUAAGUGUGAUUUAUCAAUGACACGGAUUGAAUCAAAUGUGUAUGUAUUUUAAACGUGCAAGCGAAAUCCGAGCAAACGCGGAUGUGGUUGUGAGGACCAUCACUUUGUAGGCUAACGGUAUUUCGUACGCAGAGAAUCCUGUGUAGCUAUCUGCAUUAGAUUCGGACUGACACGUAUAGAAGUUAACGUCACUUCGCUGACUUUUCGUUUAUGGACAAAAAUGAUUAAAUAGUUUAUAAAUAAAAUCAUUAAAUUUAUUACAAGUUAUCUCUCUCUGAUUGUCUAAGGCGGGUCCACCGCAGAACAAGAAUAAAUGCAUCGGUGAGUACGAGCAUAGGUUGUCAGAAAAAAGAGUCAUUGAACUUUACAGUUUGCAAAGUUACAGGGUGCCAGAUUGACUUUUGGGACGAUGCGUUCUUUAGUUAAACGUUUAUGUACCGAUUGAGUAAGCUACAAAAAAGUUAUUAAGCACAAAACGCUUUAUAAGUUGAAGCCUUUCACCUUCGAAAUCUUCAUCACGGAUAAUCAAGUCUUUUGGUGUCCUGACGUCACAGUACUCUUCAGACAUUUUCGGAUAGUCGUGACCUAGCUUGAAGUAUAGAACGCGCGGAGUGGGCUGCCCUAAGCAUGGACCAUUGGUGCGGCACACCGCAGUUCAGUGCGUGAGAGUUCUAGUGUUUCAGGGUUACCAGUCAAUCAACCAUUCAGGCAGUGGUAAAGCUAUGGAGCAACCCAUCUUUGAGUUGGCGCAGUGCUGGAGUGUGUCGCGACCAAAUCCGUGUACCUAUUGAUUUGUGGCCCAGCCAUCGAACCAGACCAAUUUGUUAAAGCUUUGUGUGUCUGUUUUGUUUAUUAACAAACAUAGCGAGCAAUACAUUUAUGAAUAUACUGUGAACGCUGUUUUGCUAAUCCAACGAUGCCUGCCAGGUGCUGUGGAACUAGCAUCAUUGUGAUUUGCCGACUGAGCUAAAGUUAGCUAAUUAUAUCGUAUACUGAAUCGUACUGGAUGUCAGUUAUUAUGAGACGUUCCCACCUCGACCGGGUCACAACAAUCUGUAACGUAAAGGUCCGAUUCAGAUAAUGAACGUUUGACCAACGAAACAGAAUUAUAUCCAAUUGGAGAGUUUAGAAUACGGAGUUCGGGUACAACGAGUUCUAACAUUAGUUCAUUCAUGCAGUAUUGCUGAAAUCUAUUCCCAGAUGUGGCAGCCGCAGAUCAGCUUGCUUGGGCAUUAGGCUUAUUCUACUAGAUAGUUAGUUACUAGUUUUUAUCUAGAAGUUUGUUUUCGUUAAUUCUAUCGAUUGUUCUCACAAAUUGUCGCAUAUCGAGCUUCUCAUGUACUUUAAAUUUUUAAGACCGCUCACAAGCGGCGCAGUUACACAAGACACAUGAGCUCCGCACUGAACCCAUCUGCGAAUUGCUUAAGUACUCAACACUUGUUUACGAAACUAAACGAACGUCCAAUGAGAGGUUUCCGUACCGAGAGCAUGUCCGAAAAAAGGAAUCAAUGCAGUACGAGCGCCUACGGACGAUCAUCAUGGAAAUAUGGUCAGUAAUAACAGUGGGUCGAUAAACAACAAUACCAUUGGAUAUUUAGGAAGCGUACUCUUCAUAAACACGCACACACAAACUGCCAACCUCCGUUUUGACUAGAAAGCUGGUUCCAUUUGACUACAGGUGAUGCUUGGCGCGAAACAAACGCGAAACAAUAUUAUUGCGAUAUCAUCGAUUGAAUUAUACUCACGGGUGGUAGCAGUUUUUAGGCGUUUCGACACCGCCCUUGUAGGUAUUUAGCUCAGACUAUCGGCGGGAGAGCAAGCAACGAGAGUAUGUACACACUGACAUCUCAGUGACAAUGGACAAAGAACGAAAGAUAGCUUUCAAUUGGUGGCAUAGGAAUAAUGAAUAAGAUGGGUUGCUGAGGUUCGGCGGUAUUGGAAGAGACGGAGGAGACCGACCUUCACCUGAUCUCUGAUUACUUUGAUGUCGUUAGUAGCAAGCGCGGGAGCAGUAGUGAUGCACCGUCAUGCGAAGGCUGUGAGAGCGGUUCGUUUCGCUCUAUUUGUUUGUAGGCUGAGUACGGAUUACGGUUUGAACGUUGUGUAGGAUUGUAAAGUGCACAUUUCAUGGGAUGGCCGUUUGACCCAAAUAGACUGAUUAGACCAUGACCCACGUAGGUGGAAAUUCGAAAUGACCACUACUACUAUUACUACUACCAUGUCAAUUUCAACAAUAACCAACCUACUAGGAAUACAACUAUUGUAUUCUGGCCCUAUUGAGUGAGGUAGAGAGCAAGACGUUAGGAAGUGGUUGUCGCACCUUCUCGGACAAAUUCGGAAGCGCUUUACGAUUUCAGGCUUCGCUGAUCCCGUUGCUUGUUGCGGUAAGAGGGUACAAUAGAGAUGGGGUAAGGCUUUAGAGGAAUAGGCCAAAAAGCGUAGCUAGCCAUGGACAGGCAAAAGGACUUGGAAGCGGACAUAUAUAGCAUCCGUGUUCGGGAUAGCAGGAGUUCUGAAAAAAUUGUGACCGUUAUUGUUCAUUGUUUACUCGUUUCUCCUUCAUGACCGAUAAUACGUGGAUUACAGGGACAGGGAAAAAUCUGACAAGAUAACUAGUUCGAUUCGUCAACGUUGACUAUGAUUGCCACAACGACGAUGAAAAGUUAAUUCACGAUACUGAUCAUGUAUAAUAGGCGCAGAAAAAGUACACCGUCACAUGAAGAGUCUGGAAGGCACUCACGCAUGACAGGAAUAGUAGCAUAUGCAUGAGAAAGAAUGUCCACUUAGCUAAAGGAGAUAGAAACACCAACGAUAAGUUAACGUGCUUAAUUAAGGCGUUAAUUUUUUUCGAAGUGUGCGUGUAUAGCAAAGUUAGCGGCCAUCAUACGUUUAACGGCAAUUGACGACAGAGUUGUUAUUAAAAACGAGCUAUAUUUUCUAUCAGUGGCUUGUUUUGGGAGUAAUUUCCUCUAUAGGCUAUCAUUAUUUAUUAAUUCGAGUAAGAAAACAUUAGAAGAGUCGCCUUUUUUCUCAUACAAAACUCAACAAUGCUUGUUAAUUAAGGACACGCGUACGAACACAGGUUAUAACCGAAAUGUUCCCUUUGAAAAAUGAAAACAAAAAUCCGUCACAAAGACGUAGCGAAGCCCGUACAAACACAUGAUCGUAAAAAGCUAGUUAUCACAGUGUCACGCCGGCAACGAAAGACAGAAAUGUUAGAAUCGAAAUUUAGACAAGAACGGCUAAUUGAUGGUAACGAUGGCAAAGAUUAAAAGGACAUUACGACUGAGAACAGGACUAUGGCAUAUGCAUCAUAGAUCGAAGUCAUUGUAAUCAAGCUAGAAAUAAACGCUCCAGGUAGAGGGUGACGGAAGCUAAAGCUAAACCCGAAUCAGCGGAGAGAACUUAGCUGUGAAGAAGGUUGAAGUUAGAAUAAUAAGAGGGUAAAGCUGAACAUACAUCAAUGCAUGAAACAAACGGGACUUAUACACGAUAGGCAAACUUGGUAGUUAGAAUUGUGAGAUAGAGAAAAACACAAGUGUUGUAAUAGAUAUGUAUGUAUAUAUAUAUAUAUACAUAUAUACACGAAUGUCAUGUGGUGAUACAUCGAGUGACAGCAAAACAAGAGUUGGGAGAACGAAAAUGCUAAAGGUGAUAAUAAGAAUGAAGGUAAUUUUGGCAUAAAACAUGAACGAAUGACCGACGAAUGGAUUGUAAAUAAAUAAAUUGAAAAAAAAAUUAUAAGGACCUGGUGGUGUUUGUUCGAAGUGUCACUGGUACAAGAGGAAUAUUUUCCUCAUAUUUUCUCAUGUAAAUUAAAAAUAGAAUGAAGGACUAUGAGAACGUGAGCUCCUUUAAC